rnacentral:lncRNA from 1 species
GUGGCUCCGAUUUGCGGUCCCAGCCCGUCCUGGUGCCACGGAGGGGUCAGUCCGCCCGGCGUAGCCCAAGGGCCGGCCGGCACGCCGUGCUGUCCUCCGCGGCCCAGCCGGCCUCCCGCUUCGGCGGGCACGGCAGAGGCGGGGGCAGUGCCAACGGGUGGGGGCGCACACGGCACAGGCCACGGGGCCAGACGGGCUCAGUGUGGAUUCUGGUCCCGGCCCACCGCCUGCUCGCUCAGCCACGGGAACGAGUCUGUUCGCCCUGCUGGGCCUCGGAGCCCUCAUCUCCACCAUGGGGGCGGGACUGCCUCUUCGGGGGGGGGGGGUGGGGGCCAGAGGAGGAGGGGAGGGUCUCCAAGAAGCCCAGUCCGUCCCUGGCACGAAGCAGACGCUUCGCGAACGUGCGGUUGGGGGGCAGGCAGAGCUGGGGCGCCGGGUCACCUGACUGUCCCGAAAGCCUCCCUCGCAGACCCUCCCUUACCCCGUGUCUCUUCCUCGAGCGAAGCAAGUCCCCUGAAGCAGGGCGGGGACUGGGGAGCUGGGGACUGGAGAACAUUCCGGGGCACGCUCGGUGGGUCUGGUGGGUCUGACGGCCGUGCCUCUCUCUGGAGCGCUUUCCGCGAAGCGUCGUCCUGUUCCUGGGCUGUGCUCCAGCCCCGACCCUGGCCUCCCUCCCGGGUCAGCUCCUCCCAACACGGGUGUGAGCUCUUGCCCCUGGGCCGAUCUAGGCUUGUCCGGCCAGUAGUUGGGCCGGGUGUGCCUCGGCAUGCGUCCCCGCUUGCCAGAAUGGGCUCAUCUCUCCUGAGGGGGGGUCUUGGCCCCAUGCCCCCCCCCCCCCCCGUUCUAGAGCAGCAAGUUGAAACUUGCUUGCAUUAUGCCUGGACCCACGGCAAACUCAGAGUCCUGGGAAAGUCCAGCAACCAGAACACCAACUGGAAAGAACCCUCCCCCUGGAGGGUGGGGUGCCCGCCAGAGGCCUUCCCUCCUGGCUCUCCCCGCCCCGGCUCUCCCCUCCCCUCGUCAAGGCCUGGGCCACGCGGAGGGCCCUGUCAGCUGCCGCUGCGCCUGGCCUCGCGUUAA